rnacentral:lncRNA from 1 species
CUCUUGAGCAAGCCUUUGUGGUCCAUCUAGUGACAAAAUUCCAACCUUGCUUCUACCUUCAUACUAACUGGGGAGGCCUCACGGUCUGCAGUUAAGUUCAUGGUCUCCAUAUAUUUGGGUAUGAAUGCUGGUACCCAAACUCAGCAUUUGAGGUCAUGAUAUUGCUGGCUAGGAAUUCGAUGCCAAUUUCUCCUCCCAACAGUAUAAAUCUAUGGUUCUGUGCUAGAUUCAACACAUCCCAGGCCCUGACAAUAAGAGUUGCCAUCCAUCACAAGCAACCCAAAAUCCUUCAUCAUUCCUUUACUUUGCAUGACUCCUGGAUCUCACACAACUGCUCUUAUUUCUCAGUCUUCCUGAUUCAACACACUAUGCCCUAGACUCUACCUGCAGCCUUUAUCUUUCCCUUGAUCUAGUUCAUGCUACCUGUCAACUCUGCCUUUUUAGGACUAGUUCCCAGAGUCCAAAAGUCUGCAUAGUCCACCUGUCCUGUGAACCCAGGGGCCUCUCUGUGUCUUACACUCUUCCUAUCUGCUUCUGUUGAAAUUUCAGCAAAUCGGAGCGACUUAAGCAAAAUAAAGAUAUUCAUGCCAAAAUGGCAACAUUCGUGCCAACAUUUACAGGCCAAGAAAAUAUCAAAAUUCUGUUUUGUUUGGUAAUUUGAUAAAUACUUGUCAAUCAAAUGGAAAUUGGAUGAGCUAACAAAUAAAGCCCUAGCCAAUGGCUGAGGAUUUCUUCUG